GGCUAGGUUUCAGCACUGAAGGUUGACCUCGCAAGCAGGAGAGAGCCCCUUGUACAUAAUCAGGAAUACAAACAAAUCAGAAGUAUGUUUUAGAAUGCAUAUCCGGAGGAAACUUGUCCCUAGACAGCAGCUGUGGUUGCUGCAGAGCUCAGCCAGAUGAGGCGCUCUGGGUCAUGUUGCUACGCUUCAGUAAAAGCUCAAACAGGCUUCACUAUUGAUCACCAGCCUCAGUCAGGACAAAUGGCAACUCAUUGAAAUGGGCAACAGGCUCCGGGCACAGUUGAUAGAAGCAGGACUAGAGGAACCAAUCUGAAGCUCCAGUACGACUAGCCGGGUCAUCCCACUGUCUGUUGUCAUCUGAAGGCACUGAUGAUUCCCUACAGAACGUGUGGUAGAUGCUGGAUCGAGGUUCAAGUUCCUCUGUGUUUUCUUCAAGUUACAGUUAAGACAAAGGUGCUUUUUUCAAGAUCACAAUAAAGAUGCCUUUAGGGACUGUGUGAUACUGUACUGACAUGAAGCCACCACAUUACAUGGGAUUUACAAUUUUAAAACGAGGAUAUAUACCCUCAUCAUUUUGUGCUCUCAGGAAGAGUGGCUACAGCAAACGGAGGACACACAGAUAUUAAUCAGCUUCUUGCUCCACUGGUCAGUGUGGAGGGUAUGAAAGCAUCACUCUGGGAAAAGAAGAAACAAAGUCAUAAUACAUUUGCACCUGCUA